GGAUGUGAGGGCGAUCUGGCUGCGACCUCUGUCACCCCAUUGAGCGCCAGGGUUGAUUCGGCUGAUCUGGCUGGCUAGGCGGGUGUCCCCUUCCUCCCUCACCGCUCCAUGUGCGUCCCUCCCGAAGCUGCGCGCUCGGUCGAAGAGGACGACCAUCCCCAAUAGAGGAGGACCGUUCUUCGGUCAAGGGUAUACGAGUAGCUGCGCUCCCCUGCUAGAACCUCCAAACAAGCUCUCAAACUUGACACAAAAAGGUAUUUGUCAAACAUAAUUCCUAAUUAACCUAAAAUAGAAACAACCUAAAUU
rnacentral:snRNA from 1 species